rnacentral:rRNA from 1 species
UACAGAGGGGGCAAGCGUUGUUCGGAAUUACUGGGCGUAAAGGGCGCGUAGGCGGCCUUCUAAGUCGAACGUGAAAUCCCCGGGCUCAACCCGGGAACUGCGUCCGAUACUGGAAGGCUUGAAUCCGGGAGAGGGAUGUGGAAUUCCAGGUGUAGCGGUGAAAUGCGUAGAUAUCAGGAGGAACACCGGUGGCGAAGGCGGCUUUCUGGACAGAUACCGACGCUGAGGCACGAAAGCUAGGGGAGCAAACAGG